AGAGCGAACGCUGGCGGCAGGCUUAACACAUGCAAGUCGAACGGAUCCUUCGGGAUUAGUGGCGGACGGGUGAGUAACACGUGGGAACGUGCCUUUAGGUUCGGAACAACACAGGGAAACUUGGAUUAAUACCGGAUACGGCUGAGAGGCGAAAGAUUUAUCGCCGGAGGAUUGGCCCGCGUUCGAUUAGCUUGUUGGUGAGGUAACGGCUCACCAAGGCGAUGAUCGAUAGCUGGUCUGAGAGGAUGAUCAGCCACAUUGGGACUGAGACACGGCCCAAACUCCUACGGGAGGCAGCAGUGGGGAAUAUUGGACAAUGGGCGCAAGCCUGAUCCAGCCAUGCCGCGUGAGUGAUGACGGCCUUAGGGUUGUAAAGCUCUUUCGCUCGGGACGAUAAUGACGGUACCGAGAUAAGAAGCCCCGGCUAACUUCGCGCUAGCAGCCGC
rnacentral:rRNA from 1 species